CUAACUCUGGCGAGUGCCGCUCUGAUUAUCGGAAGGACCGUGAAGAAUGGAGCGACACAGCAAUAUCUUGCUUGCUGGAGUCGUACACGGAGAAGUACAACCAGCUGAACAGGGGGAAUUUGAGGGGGAGAGACUGGGAGGAAGUGGCGGAGGCGGUGAGCGAUAGAGGAGGGAGCAAUAACAAGAAGAGCGUAGAGCAGUGUAAGAACAAGAUUGAUAAUUUAAAGAAAAGAUAUAAAGUGGAGUUACAAAGGAUCAAUAAUAGUAGUGGAGGAUUUGGAAGUAGUGGUACUAGUAG
rnacentral:misc_RNA from 1 species